rnacentral:snRNA from 1 species
GUCCUAGCCUCUGGUAGUACAUAUUCUGAAAUUGGCAUGAUACAGCUAAGAUUAGCAUGGCCCUGCUCAAGGAUCACACACAAAUUCAUGAAGUGUACCAUAUUUUU